rnacentral:rRNA from 1 species
GCCUAGUCGUAAACUUUAACUUACCCCUCCAUCGCCCGGGAACUACGAGCUAAGCUUAAAACCCAAAGGACUUGACGGUACCCCACAUCCCCCUAGAGGAGCCUGUCCUAUAAUCGAUAACCCCCGCUUAACCUCACCAUUUUUUGCUAAUCAGCCUGUAUACCUCCGUCGUCAGCUUACCACGUGAGCGUUAGUGAGCCUAAUGUUUUUCCAACUAUACGUCAGGUCAAGGUGCAACAUAUAAAAUGGAAAGAGAUGGGCUACACUUUCUAUAAUAGAAUAAACGAAAGACUUAAUGAAACCUAGUCAGAAGGUGGAUUUAGAAGUAAAGUGAAACUAGAGUGUUCACUUAAAUACGGCACUGGGGUGUGUACACACCGCCCGUCACCCUCCUCAGCUCUGCAUAAAAGUAUUUAACGCCUUUUUAGAGACUCAGAA